UACGUAGGGCGCAAGCGUUAUCCGGAAUUAUUGGGCGUAAAGAGCUCGUAGGCGGUUUGUCGCGUCUGCCGUGAAAGUCCAGGGCUCAACCCUGGGAUGCCGGUCGAUACUGCCGGACUAGAGUUCGGAAGAGGCGAGUGGAAUUCCCGGUGUAGCGGUGAAAUGCGCAGAUAUCGGGAAGAACACCUAUGGCGAAGGCAGCUCGCUGGGACGUUACUGACGCUGAGACGCGAAAGCGUGGGGAGCAAACAGG
rnacentral:rRNA from 1 species